CGCGUAGGCGGUGCGCUAAGUCAGAUGUGAAAGCCCUGGGCUCAACCCGGGAAUUGCAUUUGAUACUGGCGCGCUCGAAUCCGGGAGAGGUUGGUGGAAUUCCCAGUGUAGAGGUGAAAUUCGUAGAGAUUGGGAAGAACACCGGUGGCGAAGGCGGCCAACUGGACCGGUAUUGACGCUGAUGCGCGAAAGCGUGGGGAGCAAACAGGAUUAGAUACCCUGGUAGUCCACGCCGUAAACGAUGUGUGCUAGCCGUUGGGGCUCUUAGAGCCUCGGUGGCGUCGCUAACGCAUUAAGCACACCGCCUGGGGAGUACGGUCGCAAGAUUAAA
rnacentral:rRNA from 1 species